AUUUACACAGUGCUGGUAAUGACGUAAUCUUAGUCUCAGCCAGAGACUCAUUUGGAAGUUGGAACACACAACGGGGAGGCUACUGAAGAAAGAAGCGCAGACGCCGUCGUAUUAAUCCCUAAGCGUUGAACAUGGAAGCAACACCAAACACACAACAACAAGAGGAUGAUGAUAUCGUUUGCUUAGAUGCGUCCUUCUUCCUCAAUGACAAUUACCAGCUUACGAACUUCACAUUUGGAUCCCAAGACAUUCAGCUCUUCUGUCUCCAAUCCGCUUCAACUGAUUUUGAUUUGACAGGGCAGCUGGUAUGGCCGGGAGCCAUGCUGCUAAAUGAUUAUCUUUCAAAGAAUGUUGAAAUGCUGCAGGGCUGCACUGCCAUCGAAUUGGGUUCUGGUGUUGGUAUUACUGGAAUACUUUGCAGCAGAUUCUGCCAUAAAGUUGUGAUGACGGAUCAUAAUGAAGAAGUGCUAAAGAUUUUAAAUAAAAAUAUAGAGCUCCAUUCAUGUUCCGACAAUACUAGUCCUUCUUCUCGCGGAUUAUUUGCCAGUAAACUGGAAUGGGGGAACUCUGAUCAGAUCAAUGACAUUUUACAAAAUCAUCCAGGAGAAUGGCAUGGCAGAAAACUAGGGACCGCAAUGGCAGUGACGCCGUGGCAUUUCCUGACAGAAAUGGCUGGAUUCUGUGGAAUAUAUUUUGCAUUGGAGGGCUGUUUUUGUCAUUUUAAAAACCAUAAAACUAAUGUUAGGAACACAAAACCUUCUCUGACUUGAUUUCAGCCUCUUCACCAACCCAAGGAAGCAAGGAAGAGGAAGUUAUAGUGCUACUCCUACUGCAAAAAGGUUUUGUGUUGGUGAAGAGGCUGAAAUCAGCCUGAGAAGGUUUUGUGUUCCUACAUUAGUUUAGGGUUUUAUAAUGACAAAAACAACCCUCAAAAGCAAAACAAUUCCACAUAACACCGCCAUUUCUGUCACGGAAUGCCACCACUCUCAGUCCCUGAUUUUCUGCAACACAAUGUACUCCCAGAUGGCAGCAGCCACAAAAUCCGCCAUGUCAUUCUGCCAUGGCACUGCUGUGGCCGAUAUUUUAAAACUAUGAAAAAAUAUCAUUCUGGAGACCUUGACAAUGCAUAAGUUUUCAGCAGUCAAGCGUCCCUAUGCUAUUCAAUACUGUUGAACAACUAUUGUGGGCUGGAGAGGGCAGGAGAUGCAAAUUCAUACUAGCCUAUGUAUCACGAACUAAGACCAUGGAUUCAAUGAUUAUUAUCGAAGCCUCUAAGCACCAGAUGCAGAUGAAAGAAGUGCCUGGAACUCGGCGCAUUGUCGGAAAUCUUGAAGGAGUCAUCUACGAAAUUACACUCGGAUCAAAGCAUUAAAUAUAUUUUAGUUGGAGUGACAUGCUGUAUGAUAACCAAAACAGAUUUGAGGGUUUGGGCUUUUGUUCAGCAGUUUCUUUCUCGAUCUGUCUAACCAGCAAGGCGUUGUUGUGGACACAUGAUUUUCUUCAAAUAGAUACAAGGCAGAUAAAAAGGACAUGAUAGGAAGGUUGCUUUUCUUCUUUCAAUUUGAAGGGAUCCAUAAUAACCAUUGGAGAUUUUCAGGAUACUAGAUUGGAGUAUAGUCUUUCAUAAAGCUCUAUAUACACAUGCCCAACUAUGUAGCAUGCCCCUAGUCCCUUUACAACCGAUGAAUCUUUGAAGUUUGAACUAGUUCAUUGACCAGGUUUCAUGUACAAUUUUAUUUUCUUAGCCUUGCGCAUAGUCAAGAUGGAUAUGUUUUAAAUGAACACAGUUGUAAUCUGAAACUUGAUGGUCUCCUAAUUUUGAGACUAAUUGAGUUGCAUAUCUAGGAGGGAGACCAUACUAAGGCCACCCAGCAGUUACAACUAGAUUUUGGGGUUGUGUUUGUGUUCGAAAUGCCAUAUGACGAGAGCUAGGAUUGGAUAUUUGAUUAUUAUUUUAGUUUUUAGAUUUUGU